CAAGGCGGGUUCCCAGAUUUUCUCAGAAGGUGGCCUUGACUACCUUGGAAACCCUAAUUUGAUCCAUGCCCAAAGCAUUCUUGCUAUCUGGGCAUCUCAGGUUGUCCUCAUGGGGCUCAUUGAAGGAUACCGGGUUGGUGGGGGUCCGCUUGGUGAAGGCCUUGAUAAGAUUUAUCCGGGUGGGUCUUUUGACCCGCUUGGAUUGGCUGAUGACCCGGAAGCUUUUGCUGAAUUGAAGGUUAAGGAGCUUAAAAAUGGAAGAUUGGCGAUGUUUUCUAUGUUUGGGUUUUUUGUUCAGGCUAUUGUUACAGGGAAGGGUCCGAUUGAGAAUUUGUUUGACCAUCUUGCUGACCCGGUUGCUAACAAUGCUUGGGCUUAUGCUACCAACUUUGUGCCCGGAAAAUGAGUUGNAGAAACGGAUUUGGGAUAUAUAACAAAAGCUGUGAAAAAUAACAGGCUAUACCGACGACAUGUCGUCGGUACAGCUUCGCAACAGUAAAAACAGUUUUCACCUUUCCAGAUGACAUAUCGUCGGUAUUACACACAUUUUUCCCGACGACAAGUCGUCGGUAAGUCCCAAAUAAAAAAAUUUCGUAUUUCCUCGAAAAUCAAUCCUGACGACUUGUCGUCUGGAUUGGUUAUUCUAUACCGAUGACUCCUGUCCCGACAACAUUUUCGACUUUUAACGACGACUUUUUACAGACGACAUGUCGUCGGUAUAAGCUUUACCGACGACAGUACAGGGUCCCUAAUUGUCGUUUGCAUAGGGCUCGAUCCUUGUAGUGGUGGUCAAGGCCAUCAUAGGCUUCAUAAUAAGUAGUGAAGAAUUUGCGCCACGUAUCAUAAUUGUGUCGACUGCGAUAGAGAAGGAUGGGUAUGUGAGCCUUAAUAUUUGUAACAACAAAAGCUUUAUGAAUUUGAAGAGUAGUACUCAAUCUGCAUCACCUUCUUCCACUGUAUGGUGUUGUAUGGUGUCUUUCAUCCUAAUUCCUAAGGCUUUCAGAUAAGUUUCUACUUCUUCAUUUUCAGCAUCAGUAAGUAAUUUACUGACAGAGAAUAUGUAAACUCGUGCUUUGUAUUCUUAACGGUAAUGAGGAAAAUGGAGAAUCAGACUCCACAACUCAACAUGUUAAAACUAAAGCACUUACAAAUGGUAACGAUCGAAUUUUGGAGUCACUACAUGAUAGUGGAUUUCACACUCAAAUUUUAACUAGUACAAAAUUAACUUACAAAAUAGAAUGAAAUAAGUAAUUAGUAACCAUUAAAGGUCGUCCAUUUCGUUUGUGAUUAUGAAACAAGAUGAAAUUGUUAAGUGCUACAGAAUAAAAAAUUUUGAGAGUUCAAACACUUGCACCAACAAAUUUUAUUUUAUUUUAUUUCUUUUUUCAUUGUGGAAGACUAAUAAUCAAAUCGCACUUCAUUUCCAAAUCAGUGGUCUAUUAGAAAUUGGUCUUUUUCUAUUUUCCUUUUACACUUUCAAUUUCUCAUUGGUGAUUUUCGUGAGGUCGUGUGAAUUGCAGAUGAAGAAGCAUAUGCAUCUCGUUGUUGAUUUUGAAUAGGCUCUUCAACCUGUAAUCUACUAUAUUAUUCGUUUUUAUUUUUGGUGGCUGAGAAUCAACGCAUCAAGAAAUCAGAGAACCACGUGGCAGAAAGAAGGACCGCCAUAUCACCUCUCAAAAUCAGAAACCAAAUCCAGUAAACCAAUGAGAUGAUGCUGACUUGUACUCAACCUAAUCCAUCCAUCUUAUUAAAUUCCUUAUAUAACCCUCCAUUACUCUCCACCACACACAUCAACUACAAACUACCAUUUCUACAAACCCCUCAAAAGAAAUGGCAACCACCGCAAUCCAACAGUCAGCAUUCGCCGGCCAACAGGCCUUGAAGCCACAGAACGAGCUCGUCCGGAAGACCGGCAGCUUCAAUGGCGGCCGCUUCACCAUGCGCCGCACAGUCAAAAGUGCACCGCAAAGCAUUUGGUAAAACUCACAAAUCGAUGUUCUUCUUGUUUCCAAAUUCAUAUAUCGAUACCAGAACUAACUAACUGUAAUCACCAUCUUUAAACAGGUAUGGACCAGAUCGUCCAAAGUACUUGGGCCCAUUCUCGGAGCAAACCCCAUCAUACUUGACCGGUGAAUUCCCCGGUGACUACGGGUGGGACACCGCCGGACUUUCGGCUGACCCGGAGACAUUUGCCAAGAACCGUGAGCUCGAAGUGAUCCACUCUCGGUGGGCCAUGCUGGGUGCACUCGGGUGCGUCUUCCCCGAGCUUCUCUCCAAAAACGGUGUCACAUUCGGUGAAGCAGUCUGGUUCAAGGCGGGUUCCCAGAUUUUCUCAGAAGGUGGCCUUGACUACCUUGGAAACCCUAAUUUGAUCCAUGCCCAAAGCAUUCUUGCUAUCUGGGCAUCUCAGGUUGUCCUCAUGGGGCUCAUUGAAGGAUACCGGGUUGGUGGGGGUCCGCUUGGUGAAGGCCUUGAUAAGAUUUAUCCGGGUGGGUCUUUUGACCCGCUUGGAUUGGCUGAUGACCCGGAAGCUUUUGCUGAAUUGAAGGUUAAGGAGCUUAAAAAUGGAAGAU
rnacentral:lncRNA from 1 species